GACGAACGCUGGCGGCGUGCCUAAUACAUGCAAGUAGAACGCUGAAGGAGAAGAUUGCUUCUCUGGAUGAAUUAAGCACAGAUGAAUAAAGCGUAGGUCACCUGCAUGGUAGCGGGGGAUAACUAUUGGAAACGAUAGCUAAUACCGCAUAAGAGUAGAUGUUGCAUGACAUUUGCUUAAAAGGUGCAAUUGCAUCACUACCAGAUGGACCUGCGUUGUAUUAGCUAGUUGGUGAGGUAACGGCUCACCAAGGCAACGAUACAUAGCCGACCUGAGACUGGGUGCGUCCACACUGGGACUGAGACACGGCCCAGACUCCUACGGGAGGCAGCAGUAGGGAAUCUUCGGCAAUGGACGGAAGUCUGACCGAGCAACGCCGCGUGAGUGAAGAAGGUUUUCGGAUCGUAAAGCCCUGUUGUAAGAGAAGUACGAGUGUGAGAGUGGAAAGUUCACACUGUGACGGUAUCUUACCAGAAAGGGACGGCUAACUACGUG
rnacentral:rRNA from 1 species